rnacentral:rRNA from 1 species
GUUUGAGUCUGCGAUUUCCGAAUGGGGAAACCCAACUGCAUAAGCAGUUACUGUUAACUGAAUACAUAGGUUAACAGAGCAAACCGGGGGAACUGAAACAUCUAAGUACCCCGAGGAGAAGAAAUCAACCGAGAUUCCGGUAGUAGCGGCGAGCGAACCUGGAUUAGCCCUUAAGCACUCGGUGAAGUAGGUGAACAAGCUGGAAAGCUUGGCGAUACAGGGUGAUAGCCCCGUAACCGACGCUUCAUCGAGCGUGAAAUCGAGUAGGGCGGGACACGUGAUAUCCUGUCUGAAUAUGGGGGGACCAUCCUCCAAGGCUAAAUACUCCUGACUGACCGAUAGUGAACCAGUACCGUGAGGGAAAGGCGAAAAGAACCCCUGUGAGGGGAGUGAAAUAGAACCUGAAACCGUGUACGUACAAGCAGUAGGAGCACCUUCGUGGUGUGACUGCGUACCUUUUGUAUAAUGGGUCAGCGACUUAUAUUCAGUGGCAAGGUUAACCGUAUAGGGGAGCCGUAGCGAAAGCGAGUCUUAACUGGGCGCUCAGUCUCUGGAUAUAGACCCGAAACCGGGUGAUCUAGCCAUGGGCAGGUUGAAGGUUGAGUAACAUCAACUGGAGGACCGAACCGACUAAUGUUGAAAAAUUAGCGGAUGACUUGUGGCUAGGGGUGAAAGGCCAAUCAAACUCGGAGAUAGCUGGUUCUCCCCGAAAGCUAUUUAGGUAGCGCCUCGGACGAAUACUACUGGGGGUAGAGCACUGUUAAGGCUAGGGGGUCAUCCCGACUUACCAACCCUUUGCAAACUCCGAAUACCAGUAAGUACUAUCCGGGAGACACACGGCGGGUGCUAACGUCCGUCGUGGAGAGGGAAACAACCCAGACCGCCAGCUAAGGUCCCAAAGUAUUGCUAAGUGGGAAACGAUGUGGGAAGGCUCAGACAGCUAGGAUGUUGGCUUAGAAGCAGCCAUCAUUUAAAGAAAGCGUAAUAGCUCACUAGUCGAGUCGGCCUGCGCGGAAGAUGUAACGGGGCUAAGCAAUACACCGAAGCUGCGGCAAUAUCUUUUAGAUAUUGGGUAGGGGAGCGUUCUGUAAGCCGUUGAAGGUGAAUCGUAAGGUUUGCUGGAGGUAUCAGAAGUGCGAAUGCUGACAUGAGUAACGACAAAGGGGGUGAAAAACCUCCUCGCCGGAAGACCAAGGGUUCCUGUCCAACGUUAAUCGGGGCAGGGUGAGUCGACCCCUAAGGUGAGGCCGAAAGGCGUAAUCGAUGGGAAACGGGUUAAUAUUCCCGUACUUCUGACUAUUGCGAUGGGGGGACGGAGAAGGCUAGGUGGGCCAGGCGACGGUUGUCCUGGUUCAAGUGCGUAGGCUUGAGAGUUAGGUAAAUCCGGCUCUCUCUAAGGCUGAGACACGACGUCGAGCUGCUACGGCAGUGAAGUCAUUGAUGCCAUGCUUCCAGGAAAAGCCUCUAAGCUUCAGAUAGUCAGGAAUCGUACCCCAAACCGACACAGGUGGUCGGGUAGAGAAUACCAAGGCGCUUGAGAGAACUCGGGUGAAGGAACUAGGCAAAAUGGUACCGUAACUUCGGGAGAAGGUACGCUCUUGAUGGUGAAGUCCCUCGCGGAUGGAGCUGACGAGAGUCGCAGAUACCAGGUGGCUGCAACUGUUUAUUAAAAACACAGCACUGUGCAAAAUCGCAAGAUGACGUAUACGGUGUGACGCCUGCCCGGUGCCGGAAGGUUAAUUGAUGGGGUUAGCGCAAGCGAAGCUCUUGAUCGAAGCCCCGGUAAACGGCGGCCGUAACUAUAACGGUCCUAAGGUAGCGAAAUUCCUUGUCGGGUAAGUUCCGACCUGCACGAAUGGCGUAAUGAUGGCCACGCUGUCUCCACCCGAGACUCAGUGAAAUUGAAAUCGCUGUGAAGAUGCAGUGUACCCGCGGCUAGACGGAAAGACCCCGUGAACCUUUACUACAGCUUGGCACUGAACAUUGAACCUACAUGUGUAGGAUAGGUGGGAGGCUAUGAAGACGUGACGCCAGUUGCGUUGGAGCCGUCCUUGAAAUACCACCCUUGUAUGUUUGAUGUUCUAACUUAGACCCAUUAUCUGGGUUGAGGACAGUGCCUGGUGGGUAGUUUGACUGGGGCGGUCUCCUCCCAAAGAGUAACGGAGGAGCACGAAGGUGGGCUAAUCACGGUUGGACAUCGUGAGGUUAGUGCAAUGGCAUAAGCCCGCUUAACUGCGAGAAUGACGGUUCGAGCAGGUGCGAAAGCAGGUCAUAGUGAUCCGGUGGUUCUGUAUGGAAGGGCCAUCGCUCAACGGAUAAAAGGUACUCCGGGGAUAACAGGCUGAUACCGCCCAAGAGUUCAUAUCGACGGCGGUGUUUGGCACCUCGAUGUCGGCUCAUCACAUCCUGGGGCUGAAGUCGGUCCCAAGGGUAUGGCUGUUCGCCAUUUAAAGUGGUACGCGAGCUGGGUUUAGAACGUCGUGAGACAGUUCGGUCCCUAUCUGCCGUGGGCGUUGGAAGAUUGAAGGGGGCUGCUCCUAGUACGAGAGGACCGGAGUGGACGAACCUCUGGUGUUCGGGUUGUGUCGCCAGACGCAUUGCCCGGUAGCUAAGUUCGGAAUUGAUAAGCGCUGAAAGCAUCUAAGCGCGAAGCGAGCCCUGAGAUGAGUCUUCCC